rnacentral:misc_RNA from 1 species
GGGAGACAACUCGUGAUGCUGUUGCAGUACACUGCGGCAAUCCGGAGAAGGUAGGAUAGGCUUAAGGGUUGUUAAACCCACUGGACGUGGGAACAUUGCACCUACCUCUGUCAUUUUUCUUCAGUAGGAUGCCGCCGACAGGGACGUCACUGACGAUGGCGAGGUUUAGUUUCAUCAUCGUCAUCCUCAUGUGUUUCCACGUACAUGAAGCACCUGCUGCUGUGCUUACCAAUGUUGACACCCGCUGUAACGUUGACAACGGUAUCGUGGCUGACAUGAGCAACUGUGGCAACUUCAUCGUGUGCCUUCAGGGUAGAGCUCGGCGGGUGAUCACGUGCUCUAAGGGACUACUCUACGACACCAAACUGCGCAUGUGCAAUCACAAAUACAAAGUGGACUGCGGAAGAAGACCGCCAAGCGCUGACGCCAAGGUCAACUGCUUCCUGAGCGACAUCAAGGUGACCAUCAAGGUGGAGAACCAGGUCAAGCCGCCAUACUUCACGUUCCGGACCACCGUGGAAGCCCCGAGACAACCGCUAGAGAACUUCCUGCUGAUGGCCGCCGGCAGAGACAGCCGGUUCAGGUUCGAAUCCAAGAUGAUCGACGAUUUCGGGAUGUUCGUGACAGCAAUCAACGGCGUGAGAGCGGAUCCCCUCGACGUCACCGCGUGGCUGCCAUUUGACAGACUCAACCGACAGCUUACAAUCAACAUCAGGGACUAUGUUCCCCAGGACAUGGAGACUAUCGUGUUCCGUUUCUACUCCUUCGCAGAGCCGGAUGACUGUAGCGGGUCUGGAUGCCGCACCCCUCGGGCCAGGCUAGUAGGCAACGGGUAGCCCCACCCUGUCCACAACAACAGUGUAAUGUGCACAUUGAAACUGGGAUUGCUUACGAAUGUGUAUAUUUACAAAACCAUUGGAACGUGUGACAGUAAGCUAGCGUUAUAUGCUCUGCAGUCAUAGUAUCUGUGCCAGCACAAAUUGCCGUUUUACUGGCUGGGGUUAUAUGAUUGAGGUUGGAUCACGUGGUAACGAUUUAAUCAGGUCACGUGGUAGUGGUUGGAUCAUGACGUACGGAUGGACCAUUUAUGCUCAGCUGGGUUACGUGGAAGCGCUUGGGUCACGUGACAGAGGUUGAAAAUAGGGUUUGGAUCACAUGAUGGGGGUAUGAUAACAGGGUUGGGUCACAUGACAUGUAGGAUGACAGGUUUUGGGUCACAUGGUAGAGGAUUGAUAACAGGGUUUGGGUCACAUGAUGGGGGUUGGAUAACAGGUUUGGGUCACAUCACAUGUUGGAUAACAGGGUUUGGAUCACAUGGAAGAGGAUGGAUAACAGGGUUUGGGUGACAUGAUGGGGGUUGGAUAACAGGUUUUGGGUCCCAUGAUGGAGGUUGGAUAACAGGGUUUGGGUCACAUUUAAGAGGGUGGAUAACAGGGUUUGGUGACAUGAUGUGGGUUGGAUAACAGGGAUUGGGUCACAUGAUGGGGUUUUGAUAACAGGGUUUGGGUCAUAUGGAAGAGGAUGGAUAACAGGGUUUGGAUCACGUGGCAGAUAUUGGAUAACCGGUUUUGGGUCCCUCUGUUGGGGUUAGAUAACAGGGUUUGGGUCACAUGGCAGAAAUUGGAUAUCAGGGUUUUGAUCACUCUGUCGGAGGUGGAUAUCAAAGAUUUCAGGGUUACGGUCGCGUGGUAGGGGUUGGGUCACACAUGGGUAUGGGCUCGAUGGCUGGUUAGCUUUAAUUCUGGCUUGAACAAUGUAGUGAAUUGUCCGUCCUUGAACCUAACCAGGCAUUAAUAGUUUAUUAUUUUCUGGAUAAUGCAAUAAAUAACCGAUAUUUUUAAUUUCUUAACACUGACUCAGUUUCCUAAUGUGCGAGACUCAUGGGUCAGUGCACUUGCGUUCCAGGGUAACUGGGGGUUGUUUGGUGGGUACCAGGAAGUACAAUUACUGACGCUCACUGUCUGUAAAGUUUCAUGUCCUUUGGAGUCUUUCGUAACUGUAUUCAGAGUGUUGUACAUGUAAAUGCUUAUACAGAUUAGUAGUAGCAGUAGUAGUAUAGUAGUAGUAGUAGUAGUAGUAGUAGUAGUAGUACGUAGUCGUAGAUAGACAAUGAAGUACUCCUCACAAAAUCUAUGGUGUACACUACUAGUACUACUACUACUACUACUACUAAUAAUAAUAUUACUACUACUACUUCUACUACUACUACUACUACUACUAUCAUCAGAUCUGCUUACAUUUAACUAACAAAUAUACACUAAAUAACAUUGAUUAAACAUAAUUUUCAUGUAAAGAUGUCUCAUGUUGUAUUUAGGGACAGGGAAAAUUGAACGAAAUAAAGGGAUACUCCUGCAUCUGGUCUCAGCCAUCUUCUCAAGCCUGGUGCGUGAUGGCGAUGUUGCAGAU